GACGAACGCUGGCGGCGUGCUUAACACAUGCAAGUCGAACGGAAAGGCCCUGCUUUUGUGGGGUGCUCGAGUGGCGAACGGGUGAGUAACACGUGAGUAACCUGCCCUUGACUUUGGGAUAACUUCAGGAAACUGGGGCUAAUACCGGAUAGGAGCUCCUGCUGCAUGGUGGGGGUUGGAAAGUUUCGGCGGUUGGGGAUGGACUCGCGGCUUAUCAGCUUGUUGGUGGGGUAGUGGCUUACCAAGGCUUUGACGGGUAGCCGGCCUGAGAGGGUGACCGGCCACAUUGGAACUGAGAUACGGCCCAGACUCCUACGGGAGGCAGCAGUGGGGAAUAUUGCACAAUGGGCGGAAGCCUGAUGCAGCAACGCCGCGUGCGGGAGGACGGCCUUCGGGUUGUAAACCGCUUUCGCCUGUGACGAAGCGUGAGUGACGGUAAUGGGUAAAGAAGCACCGGCUAACUACGU
rnacentral:rRNA from 1 species